UACAGAGGUCUCAAGCGUUGUUCGGAUUCAUUGGGCGUAAAGGGUGCGUAGGUGGCGCCGUAAGUCGGGUGUGAAAUUUCGGAGCUUAACUCCGAAACUGCAUUCGAUACUGCGGUGCUUGAGGACUGGAGAGGAGACUGGAAUUCAUGGUGUAGCAGUGAAAUGCGUAGAGAUCAUGAGGAAGACCAGUGGCGAAGGCGGGUCUCUGGACAGUUCCUGACACUGAGGCACGAAGGCCCAGGGGGAGCAAACGGG
rnacentral:rRNA from 1 species